rnacentral:rRNA from 1 species
AGCUAAUAGAUACCCGGGUAGUCCACGCCCUAAACGAUGUCUACUAGUUGUUGGUGGAGUAAAAUCCAUGAGUAAACGCAGCUAAACGCGUGAAGUAGACCGCCUGGGGAGUACGGUCGCAAGAUUAAAGCUCAAAGGAAUUGACGGGGGCCCGCACAAGCGGUGGAUUAUGUGGAUUAAUUCGAUGCAACGCGAAAAACCUUACCUGGCCUUGACAUGCCACUAACGAAGCAGAGAUGCAUUAGGUGCCCGUAAGGGAAAGUGGACACAGGUGCUGCAUGGCUGUCGUCAGCUCGUGUCGUGAGAUGUUGGGUUAAGUCCCGCAACGAGCGCAACCCUUGCCAUUAAUUGCCAUCAUUUAGUUGGGCACUUUAAUGGGACUGCCGGUGACAAACCGGAGGAAGGUGGGGAUGACGUCAAGUCCUCAUGGCCCUUAUGGCCAGGGCUUCACACGUAAUACAAUGGUCGGUACAGAGAGUUGCCAACCCGCGAGGGGAGCUAAUCUCAGAAAGCCGAUCGUAGUCCGGAUUGUUCUCU